rnacentral:rRNA from 1 species
UACAGAGGGGGCAAGCGUUGUUCGGAAUUACUGGGCGUAAAGGGCGCGUAGGCGGCCUUCUAAGUCGAACGUGAAAUCCCCGGGCUCAACCCGGGAACUGCGUCCGAGACUGCAUUGCUAGAGUAUGGGAGAGGAAAGCGGAAUUUCUGGUGUAGCAGUGAAAUGCGUAGAUAUCAGAAGGAACAUCAGUGGCGAAGGCGAGUCUCUGGACAUUUCCUGACGCUGAGGCACGAAAGCCAGGGGAGCAAACGGG